UCAAAUCUUUUGAUUGGAAGAGUAGGCAGGGUGGGUGUCAAAGCGAGCCGGGGAAGGUGCAAGCCCGGUGCAUAGCCAUGUUGAAGCGUAUCCAUGAAGAGACUGUCUGAAAUCAUAGUAGGGCAGUACGGUGGCAGCCGUUAAAUGCAUCGAGUGAAGACAGAAAUAUGCUGUCUUAAGAAGAGUGGUAACGCGGAUAUAACUUCGUCUCUUGU
rnacentral:ncRNA from 1 species